GCCUUCCUUAUGGCUAGCGUACAGUCUCAGGGUGCUGGAUUUGGAAUGGAACCCUCCAUGCAUGGGUCCGACAGUCAGAGGCCCUCCAGCUCUUUUUAUUCAAGUCUCCUGUGGGUCAGCCAGUGGAGGGAGGGCGUUCGGCCGCCAUUGAUUUCCCCUCUCCAAUGCACCGGUUUUGAAGAUCAAUGCAACAUGAAGGAUGCAGCAGGACCAACCGCAGACAAAAGGCAGGCAGCACAACACAACCCACACAGCACUGGACACCAGGGAAAGCUGAUAUAAUAUGCUGGGAGGGUGGUGGGCUACGUUAAGCGCCAUUGUGUUGCCUUGGCCGAGGACUGCAGGAAGUUGUGUUUGGCACAAGGCCCAGAAGCAAGGUGAGGACAAACACUCCCAACAAACACACACUGACAUCCACAAAUCUACAGACGCAUAUCUGCUACAUAGUACACAUUGGUAGUGUGUAUGUGUGGGUGGGUAGUGGGGAUAAGUGUUGUGGACGCAUUUGAGCAACGUGUUUGAGUGUGUGUGCACACGUAUGAGCAAGUCCACCUUUCAUCUGUGCUGAGAUUUGGAAAAGCUUCACUUUGCACAGGCUCCUUAAUUCUCCCUUAAUUCAUUUGUGCUCCAGAUUCACUUGGCUGCUGGGAUAACCUGGGAAUGAUAAUGAAGUGGAGGGGGAAAGAAAGAGAUAGAAAGAGGCAAGAGAGAGAGAGAGAGAGAGAGAGAGAGAGAGAGAGAGAGAGAGGGAGGGAGGGACAUGAAAACAUCACAGCACAUGGCUCCUUCUCCUAUCUCCCCUUUGAAUGUGUUCGGAAUGGAUUUAGGGCUUUUCACUGAGUCUUUUAAGAGAAGAUGGAUCUUAUUAGUGCUGAUUGCUAGUCAUAGGACGUUUUCUGCCUCGGGAACCCACCUUUCUUAACCCUUUCACAGAUGAACAGGGACUGUAGCAUUACUAGGGUUGGGGUUUGAUAGCAUUUUAUCAAAUAUGAAUCCAGUAUUGACUCCACUAAUCAAAUUUGAGUCCUUUCAAAUGCCUUAUCCAAUCUACUGUAUUUAGGCUCAACCCUGUUCCCAGAAGAUUGGAAGAUUCUGAAAAACCCCGGAUUAUGUUCAGUGACAACAAUUUUGCAAUUCCCACUUUCUACAAUAACAGUGCAUGGCAAGUGUGGUAUGGUUAAGGUUAUUUCAAAUGUAUUGGAUAAUAAAUCCGACUGUGGGCGUUGCCAUAGCCAAGGUCCAAGUGCCACACCCCAUGCACUAUAAUUAUAAACAAAACAAAACAAAAUAACACAGACAUAUCUUAAUUUUACAAAGACAGACGUAUUGCAUCCAUCAAGUGUAAUAAAUCAGAGGAAACAUGACAAGUUCAGUUCUUCAUUUAGGCCAAAAGGCUCAACUGUGUAAAGAAUGUGGAUAUAAUAAUUCUCUUCUCUCUCCUUCUGUCGCUUUCAGCAGGUAUUUCUGCCUCCGGUGCUGCAGAGUCUGGAUCUGUGGUUGUGGGCCACCUGCUG